AGGACGAACGCUGGCGGCGUGCCUAAUACAUGCAAGUCGAGCGGACCGACGGGAGCUUGCUCCCUUAGGUCAGCGGCGGACGGGUGAGUAACACGUGGGUAACCUGCCUGUAAGACUGGGAUAACUCCGGGAAACCGGGGCUAAUACCGGAUGCUUGAUUGAACCGCAUGGUUCAAUCAUAAAAGGUGGCUUUUAGCUACCACUUACAGAUGGACCCGCGGCGCAUUAGCUAGUUGGUGAGGUAACGGCUCACCAAGGCGACGAUGCGUAGCCGACCUGAGAGGGUGAUCGGCCACACUGGGACUGAGACACGGCCCAGACUCCUACGGGAGGCAGCAGUAGGGAAUCUUCCGCAAUGGACGAAAGUCUGACGGAGCAACGCCGCGUGAGUGAUGAAGGUUUUCGGAUCGUAAAACUCUGUUGUUAGGGAAGAACAAGUACCGUUCGAAUAGGGCGGCACCUUGACGGUACCUAACCAGAAAGCCACGGCUAACUACGUGCCAGCAGCCGCGGUAAUACGUAGGUGGCAAGCGUUGUCCGGAAUUAUUGGGCGUAAAGCGCGCGCAGGCGGUUUCUUAAGUCUGAUGUGAAAGCCCCCGGCUCAACCGGGGAGGGUCAUUGGAAACUGGGGAACUUGAGUGCAGAAGAGGAGAGUGGAAUUCCACGUGUAGCGGUGAAAUGCGUAGAGAUGUGGAGGAACACCAGUGGCGAAGGCGACUCUCUGGUCUGUAACUGACGCUGAGGCGCGAAAGCGUGGGGAGCGAACAGGAUUAGAUACCCUGGUAGUCCACGCCGUAAACGAUGAGUGCUAAGUGUUAGAGGGUUUCCGCCCUUUAGUGCUGCAGCAAACGCAUUAAGCACUCCGCCUGGGGAGUACGGUCGCAAGACUGAAACUCAAAGGAAUUGACGGGGGCCCGCACAAGCGGUGGAGCAUGUGGUUUAAUUCGAAGCAACGCGAAGAACCUUACCAGGUCUUGACAUCCUCUGACAACCCUAGAGAUAGGGCUUCCCCUUCGGGGGCAGAGUGACAGGUGGUGCAUGGUUGUCGUCAGCUCGUGUCGUGAGAUGUUGGGUUAAGUCCCGCAACGAGCGCAACCCUUGAUCUUAGUUGCCAGCAUUCAGUUGGGCACUCUAAGGUGACUGCCGGUGACAAACCGGAGGAAGGUGGGGGAUGACGUCAAAUCAUCAUGCCCCUUAUGACCUGGGCUACACACGUGCUACAAUGGGCAGAACAAAGGGCAGCGAAGCCGCGAGGCUAAGCCAAUCCCACAAAUCUGUUCUCAGUUCGGAUCGCAGUCUGCAACUCGACUGCGUGAAGCUGGAAUCGCUAGUAAUCGCGGAUCAGCAUGCCGCGGGUGAAUACGUUCCCGGGCCUUGUACACACCGCCCGUCACACCACGAAGAGUUUGUAACACCCGAAGUCGGUGAGGUAACCUUUUGGAGCCAGCCGCCGAAGGUGGGACAAUGAUUGGGUGA
rnacentral:rRNA from 1 species